GAUUGCAAAAAUUUUUGCCCAUUCAAAAGGUAGCCUGUUCACUCUAAUGAUAGUUUUUUGUUUUUUUUUUUCUGUGCAGAAGCUCUUUAGUUUAAUUAGAUCCCAUUUGUCAAUUUUGGCUUUUGUUGCCAUUGCUUUUGGCAUUUUAGUCAUUAAGUCUUUGCCCACGCGUAUGUCCUGAAUGGUAUUACCUAGGUUUUCUUCUAGGGUUUCUAUGGUUUUAGGUCUUACAUUUUAGUCUUUGAUCCAUCUUGAGUUAAUUUUUAUAUGAGGUGUAAGGAACGGGUCCAGUUUCAGUUUUCUGCAUAUGGUUAGCCAGUUUUCCUAACACCAUUUAUUAAAUAGGGAAUCCAUUCCCCAUUGCUUGUUUUUCUCAGGUUUGUCAAAGAUCUGAUGGUUGUAGUUGUGUGGUAUUAUUUCUGAAGUCUCUGUUCUGUUCCAUUGGUCUAUAUAUCUGUUUUGGUACCAGUACCAUGCUGUUUUGGUUACUGUAGCCUUGUAGUAUAGUUUGAAGUCAGGUAGGGUGAUGCUUCCAGCUUUGUUCUUUUUGGUUAGGAUUGUCUUGGCUAUACAGGCUCUUUUUUGGUUCCAUAUGAAAUUUAGUUUUUUCUAAUUCUGUGAAGAAAGUCAAUGGUAGCUUGAAGGGGAUAGCAUUGAAUCUAUAAAUUACUUUGGGUAGUAUGGCCAUUUUCACAAUAUUGAUUCCUCCGAUCCAUGAGCAUGGAAUGUUCUUCCAUUUGUUUGUGUCCUCUCUUAUUUCCAUGAGCAGUGGUUUGUAGUUCUCCUUGAGGAAGUCCUCUACGUCCCUUUAAGUUGUAUUCCUAGGUAUUUUAUUCUCUUUGUAGCAACUGCGAAUGGGAGUUCACUCAUGAUUUGGCUCUCUGUUUGUCUAUUAUUGGUGUAUAGGAAUGCUUGUGAUUUUUGCACAUUGAUUUUGUGUCCUGAGACUUUGCUGAAGUUGCUUAUCAGCUUAAGGAGAUUUUGGGCUGAGACAAUGGGGUUUUCUGAAUAUACAGUCAUGUCAUCUGCAAACAGAAAGAAUUUGACUUCCUCUGUUCAUAUUUGAAUACCCUUUGUUUCUUUCUUUUGCCUGAUUGCCCUGGCCGGAACUUCCAAUACUAUGUUGAAUAGGAGUGGUGAGAUAGGGCAUCCUUGACUUGUGCCAGUUUUCGAAGAGAAUGCUUCCAGCUUUUGCCCAUUCAGUAUGAUAUUGGCUGUGGGUUUGUCAUAAAUAGCUCCUAUUAUUUUGAGAUAUGUUCUAUCAAUACCUAGUUUAUUGAGUGUUUUUAACAUGAAGAUGUGUUGAAUUUUAUUGAAGUCCUUUUCUGCAUCUAUUGAGAAAAUCAUGUGGUUUUUGUUGUUGGUUUUGUUUAUGGGACGGAUUACGUUUAUUGAUUAGUGUAUGUUGAACCAGCCUUGCAUCCCAGGGAUGAUGCCCACUUGAUCAUGGUGGAUAAGCUUUUUGAUGUGAUACUGGAUUUGGUUUGUCAGUAUUUUAUUGAGGAUUUUUGUUUCAAUGUUCUUCAGGGAUAUUUGCCUGAAAUUUUCUUUUUUUUGUUGUGUCUCUGCCAGUCUUUGGUAUCAGGAUGAUGCUGGCCUCAUAAAAUGAGUUAGGGAGGAGUCCCUCUUUUUCUAUUGUUUGGAAUAGUUUCAGAAGGAAUGGUAGCAGCUCUUCUUUGUACCGCUGGUAGAAUUCGACUGUGAAUCCAUCUGGUCCUGGGCUUUGUUUUUGGUUGGUAGGCUAUUAAUUACUGCCUCAAUUUCAGAACUUGUUAUUGGUAUAUUCAGGGAUUCGACUUCUUCCUGGUGUAGUCUUGGGAGGGUGUAUGUGUCCAGGAAUUUUUCCAUUUUUUUCUAGAUUUUCUAGUUUAUUUGUGUAGAGAUGUUUAUAGUGUUCUCUGAUGGUAGUGUGUUUUUCUGUGGUGUCAGUGGUGAUAUCCCCUUUAUCAUUUUUUUAUUGUGUCUAUUUGAUUCUUCUCUCUUUUCUUCUUUGUUAGUCUGGCUAGCAGUCUAUUUUUUUAAUCUUUUCAAAAAACCAGCUCCUGGAUACAUUUUUUUUGAACCGUUUUUCCCGUCUCUAUCUCCUUCAGUUCUGCCCUGAUCUUAGUUAUUUCUUGUCUUCUGCUAGCUUUUGAAUUUGUUUGCCCUUGCUUCUCUAGGUCUUUUUAUUGUGACGUUAGGGUGUUGAUUUUAGAUCUUUUCUGUUUUCUCCUGUGGGCAUUUAGUUGUAUAAAUUUCCCUCUAAACACUGCUUUAGCUGUAUCCCAGAGAUUCUGGUAUGUUGUGUCUUUGUUCUCAUUGGUUUCAAAUAACUUAUUUAUUUCUGCCUUAUUUUCGUUAUUUGCCCAGUACCCAUUCAGGAGCAGGUCGUUCCAUUUCCAUGUAGUUAUGUGGUUUUGAGUGAUUUUUUUUUUUUUUUUUUUUUUUUUUGCGAUGGAGUCUUGCUCUGUCACCCAGGCUGGAGUGCAGUGGCGCGAUAUUGGCUCACUGCAAGCUCCGCCUCCUGGGUUCAUGCCAUUCUCCUGCCUCAGCCUCCCUAGUAGAGUAGCUGGGACUACAGGCGCCCACCACCACACCUGGCUAUUUUUUUUGUAUUUUUAGUAGAGAUGGGGUUUCACUGUGUUAGCCAGGAUGGACAUGAUCGCCUGACCUUGUGAUCUGCCUGCCUUGGCCUCCCAAAGUGCUGUUGAGUGAUCUUCUUAAUCCUGAGUUCUAAUUUGAUUGCAUUGUGGUCUGGAGAGUCUGGUUUUUAUGAUUUCUAUUGUUUUGCAUUUGCUGAGGAGUGUUUUACUUCCAAUUAUGUGGUCAAUUUUAGAAUAAGUGCGAUGUGGUGCUGAGAAGAAUGUAUAUUGUUGAUUUGGGGUGGAGAGUUCUGUACAUGUCUAUUAGUUCUGCUUGGUGCAGAGCUGAGUUCAAGUCCUGAAUAUCCUUGUUAAUUUUCUGUCUCAUGAUCUGUCUAAUACUGACAGUGGUGUGUUAAAGUCUCCCACUAUUAUUGUGUGGGAGUCUAGGUCUCUUUGUAGGUCUCUAAGAACUUGCUUUAUGAAUCUGGGUGCUUCUGUAUUGGGAGCAUAUACAUUUAGGAUAGUUAACUCUUCUUGUUGCAUUGAUCCCUUUACCAUUAUGUAAUGUCCCUCUUUGUCUAUUUUGAUCUUUGUUGGAUUAAAGUCUGUUUUAUCAGAGACGAGGAUUGCAACCCCUGCUUUUUUUUUGCUUUCCAUUUGCUUCAUAAGUACCCCUCCAUCCCUUUAUUUUGAACCUAUGUGUGUCUCUGCAUGUGAGAUGGGUCUCCUGAAUACAGCACACCAAUGGGUAUUGACUCUUUAUCCAAUUUGCCCAUCUGUGUCUUUCAUUUGGGGCUUUUAGCACAUUUACAUUUAAGGUCAAUAUUGUUAUGUGUGAAUUUGAUCCUGUCAUCAUGAUGCUAGCUAGUUACUUUGCACAUUACUUGAUGCAGUUUCUUCAUAGUGUCAUUUGUCUUUAUAUUUUGGUAUGUUUUUGCAGUGGCUGGUACCAGUUUUUCCUUUCUAUAUUUAGUGCUUCCUUUGGUAUCUCUUGUCAGGCAGGCCUGGUGGUGACAAAAUCCCUCAGCAUUUGCUUGUCUGGAAAGGAUAUUAUUUCUCUUUUGCUUGUGAAGCUUAGUUUGGCUGUAUAUGAAAUUCUGGGUUGAAAUUCUUUUCUUUAAGAAUGUUGAAUAUUGGCCCCUACCCUCUUCUGCCUUGUAGGGUUUCUGCAGAGGCAUCCAUUGUAAGACUGAUGGGCUUCCCUUUGUAGGUAACCUGACCUUUCUAACUGGCUGCCCUUAACAUUUUUUCCUUCAUUUCAACCUUGGUGAAUCUGACGAUUAUAUUUUGGGGUUGCACUUCUCAAGGAGUAUCUUAGUGGUGUUCUCUGUAUUUCCUGAAUUUGAAUGUUGACCUGUGAUGUUCUCUGUAUUUCCUGAAUUUGAAUAUUGGCCUGUCUUUCUAGGUUUGGAACGUUCUCCUGGAUGUCAUCAUGAAGUGUGUUUUCCAACUUGUUUCCAUUCUCCCCCUCACUUUCAGGUACACCAAUCAAUCAUAGGUUUGGUCUUUUCACAUAGUCACAUAUUUCUUUGAGGCUUUGUUUGUUCCUUUUCAUUACUUUUUUCUCUAAUCUUGUCUUCACGCUUUAUCUCAUUAAGUUGAUCUUCAAUCUUUGAUAUCCUUUCUUUCGCUUGAUCGAUUCGGCUAUUGAUACUUGUGUAUGCUUCACGAAGUUCUCGUACUGUAUUUUUCAGCUACAUCAGAUCAUUUAUGUUCUUCUCUAAACUGGUUAUUCUAGUUAGCAGUUCCUAUAACUUUUUAUCAAGGUUCCUAGCUUCCUUGCAUUGGGUUAGAAUAUCCUACUUUAGCUGGAAUCAUUUGUUAUUACCAACCUUCUCAAGCCUACUUCUGUCAAUUCAUCAAACUCAUUCUCCAUCCAGUUUUGUGCCCUUGCUGGCAUGAGGUUGUGAUACUUUGGAGGAGAAGAGGCAUUCUGGCUUUUGGAAUUUUCAGCAUUUUUGCACUUUUUUUAAAAAUUUUUUUAUUUUAUCAAAAUGUAAUUUAAUCCAGGAUUUUAAAAAACAAUCUUCCUUAUUUCACAGUUUAUAUUAGAGAAUUUCUCUAACAUGUGGUUCUGUUUUUCUUUUAUUUUACAUAUACCAUGUUUCUGAAUUCCACGACCACUUAUAAAAUAUAAUGAUAAUUUUUUACUUUACUUAAUUCUGUCUUUUUAUGAGAAAUAGUGUUUUAUCUUUUUUUAUUCUUUUUCUUUUUUUUUAUAUACUUAAAGUUUUAGGGUACAUGUGCAGAACGUGCAGGUUAGAUACAUAUGAAUACAUGUGCCAUGUUGGUGUGCUGCACCCAUUAACUCGUCAUUUAACAUUAGGUAUAUCUCCUAAUGCUUUCUCUCCCCCCUCCCCCUACCCCACAACAGGCCCCGGUGUGUGAUGUUCCCCU
rnacentral:lncRNA from 1 species